UGAKUAUGACGUGCUUGCACUGAAUGAGAUUUUAACACGAAGUGAGUGGCGGACGGGUGAGUAACACGUGGGUAACCUGCCCAGAAGCAGGGGAUAACACCUGGAAACAGAUGCUAAUACCGUAUAACAGAGAAAACCGCCUGGUUUUCUUUUAAAAGAUGGCUCUGCUAUCACUUCUGGAUGGACCCGCGGCGCAUUAGCUAGUUGGUGAGGUAACGGCUCACCAAGGCGAUGAUGCGUAGCCGACCUGAGAGGGUAAUCGGCCACAUUGGGACUGAGACACGGCCCAGACUCCUACGGGAGGCAGCAGUAGGGAAUCUUCCACAAUGGACGCAAGUCUGAUGGAGCAACGCCGCGUGAGUGAAGAAGGGUUUCGGCUCGUAAAGCUCUGUUGUUAAAGAAGAACGUGGGUGAGAGUAACUGUUCACCCAGUGACGGUAUUUAACCAGAAAGCCACGGCUAACUACGUGCCAGCAGCCGCGGUAAUACGUAGGUGGCAAGCGUUAUCCGGAUUUAUUGGGCGUAAAGCGAGCGCAGGCGGUCUUUUAAGUCUAAUGUGAAAGCCUUCGGCUCAACCGAAGAAGUGCAUUGGAAACUGGGAGACUUGAGUGCAGAAGAGGAYAGUGGAACUCCAUGUGUAGCGGUGAAAUGCGUAGAUAUAUGGAAGAACACCAGUGGCGAAGGCGGCUGUCUGGUCUGUAACUGACGCUGAGGCUCGAAAGCAUGGGUAGCGAACAGGAUUAGAUACCCUGGUAGUCCAUGCCGUAAACGAUGAUUACUAARUGUUGGAGGGUUUCCGCCCUUCAGUGCUGCAGCUAACGCAUUAAGUAAUCCGCCUGGGGAGUACGACCGCAAGGUUGAAACUCAAAAGAAUUGACGGGGGCCCGCACAAGCGGUGGAGCAUGUGGUUUAAUUCGAAGCUACGCGAAGAACCUUACCAGGUCUUGACAUCUUCUGCCAACCYAAGAGAUUAGGCGUUCCCUUCGGGGACAGAAUGACAGGUGGUGCAUGGUUGUCGUCAGCUCGUGUCGUGAGAUGUUGGGUUAAGUCCCGCAACGAGCGCAACCCUUAUUACUAGUUGCCAGCAUUCAGUUGGGCACUCUAGUGAGACUGCCGGUGACAAACCGGAGGAAGGUGGGGACGACGUCAAAUCAUCAUGCCCCUUAUGACCUGGGCUACACACGUGCUACAAUGGAUGGUACAACGAGUYGCGAAACCGCGAGGUUUAGCUAAUCUCUUAAAACCAUUCUCAGUUCGGACUGUAGGCUGCAACUCGCCUACACGAAGUCGGAAUCGCUAGUAAUCGCGGAUCAGCAUGCCGCGGUGAAUACGUUCCCGGGCCUUGUACACACCGCCCGUCACACCAUGAGAGUUUGUU
rnacentral:rRNA from 1 species